rnacentral:rRNA from 1 species
CCACAUCCAAGGAAGGCAGCAGGCACGCAAAUUACCCACUCCCGGCACGGGGAGGUAGUGACAAAAAAUAACGAUACGGGACUCAUCCGAGGCCCCGUAAUCGGAAUGAGAACACCCUAAAUCCUUUAACGAGGAUCUAUUGGAGGGCAAGUCUGGUGCCAGCAGCCGCGGUAAUUCCAGCUCCAAUAGCGUAUAUUAAAGUUGUUGCGGUUAAAAAGCUCGUAGUUGGUUCUGCGUGCCACGCUGUCGGUUCACCGCCUGUCGGUGCAACUGGCAUGCCGUGGCAUGUCCUGUCGGUGGCUUCACAGGCUUCGUGGCGCGCCCUAUUCGUUAACACGUGUAGGUAGUUGCGCCGCGUUGUUCUUGUAGGCCGGCUCAAUCCUGCCGCGGUGCUCUUUACCGAGUGUCGAGGUGGGCCGACACUGUUUACUUUGAACAAAUUAGAGUGCUUCAAGCAGGCUCUGAAAGCAGCCUGAAUAUUGGUGCAUGGAAUAAUGGAACAGGACCUUGGUUCUAUUUUGUUGGUUUUAGGAAUCCAAGGUAAUGAUCAAUAAGGACAGGCGGGGGCAUUCGUAUUGCGACGUUAGACUUGGCAAAUGCUUUCGCGGUGAAAUUCUUGGAUCGUCGCAAGACGCACUAGAGCGAAAGCAUUUGCCAAGUAUGUCUUAAUUGAUCAAGAACGAAAGUUAGAGGUUCGAAGGCGAUCAGAUACCGCCCUAGUUCUAACCAUAAACGAUGCCAGCCAGCGAUCCGCCGAUGUUCCUCCGAUGACUCGGCGGGGAGCUUUCCCCGGGAAACCAAAGCUUUUGGGUUCCGGGGGAAGUAUGGUUGCAAAGCUGAAACUUAAAGGAAUUGACGGAAGGGCACCACCAGGAGUGGAGCCUGCGGCUUAAUUUGACUCAACACGGGAAACCUCACCAGGCCCGGACAUUGGAAGGAUUGACAGAUCGAUAGCUCUUUCUCGAUUCAGUGGGUAGUGGUGCAUGGCCGUUCUUAGUUGGUGGACUGAUUUGUCUGGUUAAUUCCGAUAACGAACGAGACUCUGACCUAUUAACUAGGCGCUCCCGGUAUACAUACCUACCGGCGAGAUUUAUUCUUCUU